rnacentral:rRNA from 1 species
GAUGAACGCUGGCGGCGUGCCUAACACAUGCAAGUCGAACGAACCUGAUCUUCGGAAAAGGUUAGUGGCGCACGGGUGAGUAACACGUAGGUGACCUGCCCUGGAGUGGGGGAUAACUUCUCGAAAGAGAGGCUAAUACCGCAUACGCUCGGCCAUUCAGUUGGUCGAGUAAAGCUCCGGCGCUCCAGGAGGGGCCUGCGUCCGAUUAGCUAGUUGGUGAGGUAAUGGCUCACCAAGGCGAUGAUCGGUAGCUGGUCUGAGAGGACGAUCAGCCACACUGGCACUGACACACGGGCCAGACUCCUACGGGAGGCAGCAGUGAGGAAUAUUGGUCAAUGGGCGAAAGCCUGAACCAGCAACGCCGCGUGAGGGAUGAAGGCCUUCGGGUCGUAAACCUCUUUUCUGGGAGAAGAGACAAGGACGGUAUCCCAGGAAUAAGUCUCGGCUAACUACGUGCCAGCAGCCGCCGCGGUAA